GGAGGCGAGCCGAAUGGUUAGGGAGCGGUUUUGAAAACCGUCGCCGGUUAUGCCGGUUGCAGGUUCGAAUCCUGUCGCCUCCG
rnacentral:tRNA from 1 species